CAGGUGCUGCAUGGCUGUCGUCAGCUCGUGUUGUGAAAUGUUGGGUUAAGUCCCGCAACGAGCGCAACCCUUAUCCUUGUUUGCCAGCGAGUAAUGUCGGGAACUCCAGGGAGACUGCCGGUGAUAAACCGGAGGAAGGUGGGGACGACGUCAAGUCAUCAUGGCCCUUACGAGUAGGGCUACACACGUGCUACAAUGGCGCAUACAGAGGGCGGCCAACUUGCGAAAGUGAGCGAAUCCCAAAAAGUGCGUCGUAGUCCGGAUUGGAGUCUGCAACUCGACUCCAUGAAGUCGGAAUCGCUAGUAAUCGUGGAUCAGAAUGCCACGGUGAAUACGUUCCCGGGCCUUGUACACACCGCCCGUCACACCAUGGGAGUGGGCUGCAAAAGAAGUGGGUAGUUUAACCUUCGGGAGGACGCUCACCACUUUGUGGUUCAUGACUGGGGUGAAGUCGUAACAAGGUAGCGCUAGGGGAACCUGGCGCUGGAUCACCUCCUUA
rnacentral:rRNA from 1 species